rnacentral:rRNA from 1 species
GACGAACGCUGGCGGCGUGCCUAAUACAUGCAAGUAGAACGCACAGUUUAUACCGUAGCUUGCUACACCAUAGACUGUGAGUUGCGAACGGGUGAGUAACGCGUAGGUAACCUGCCUGGUAGCGGGGGAUAACUAUUGGAAACGAUAGCUAAUACCGCAUAAUAUUGAUUAUUGCAUGAUAAUUGAUUGAAAGAUGCUAUUGCAUCACUACCAGAUGGACCUGCGUUGUAUUAGCUAGUAGGUGAGGUAACGGCUCACCUAGGCGACGAUACAUAGCCGACCGGAGAGGGUGAUCGGCCACACUGGGACGGAGACACGGCCCAGACUGCUACGGGAGGCAGCAGUAGGGAAUCUUCGGCAAGGGACGAAAGUCUGACCGAGCAACGCCGCGUGAGUGAAGAAGGGUGUCGGAUCGGAAAGCUCGGUUGUAAGAGAAGAACGGGUGUGAGAGUGGAAAGUUCACACUGUGACGGUAUCUUACCAGAAAGGGACGGCUAACUACGUG